rnacentral:rRNA from 1 species
UGACCUGCCCUGGAGUGGGGAAUAACUCUGCGAAAGCAGAGCUAAUACCGCAUUCGCUUACUUCAUCAUCGGAGUAAGUAAAGCUCAAUGCGCUUCAGGAGGGGCUUGCGGCCGAUUAGCUAGUCGGUGGGGUAAUGGCCUACCGAGGCGACAAUCGGUAGCUGGUCUGAGAGGAUGACCAGCCACACUGGGACUGAGACACGGCCCAG